rnacentral:rRNA from 1 species
GGGUUGUGAGGUUAAGCGACUAAGCGUACACGGUGGAUGCCCUGGCAGUCAGAGGCGAUGAAGGACGUGCUAAUCUGCGAUAAGCGUCGGUAAGGUGAUAUGAACCGUUAUAACCGGCGAUUUCCGAAUGGGGAAACCCAGUGUGAUUCGUCACACUAUCAUUAACUGAAUCCAUAGGUUAAUGAGGCGAACCGGGGGAACUGAAACAUCUAAGUACCCCGAGGAAAAGAAAUCAACCGAGAUUCCCCCAGUAGCGGCGAGCGAACGGGGAGCAGCCCAGAGCCUGAAUCAGUGUGUGUGUUAGUGGAAGCGUCUGGAAAGGCGUGCGAUACAGGGUGACAGCCCCGUACACAAAAAUGCACAUACUGUGAGCUCGAUGAGUAGGGCGGGACACGUGGUAUCCUGUCUGAAUAUGGGGGGACCAUCCUCCAAGGCUAAAUACUCCUGACUGACCGAUAGUGAACCAGUACCGUGAGGGAAAGGCGAAAAGAACCCCGGCGAGGGGAGUGAAAAAGAACCUGAAACCGUGUACGUACAAGCAGUGGGAGCCUCUUAAUGGGGUGACUGCGUACCUUUUGUAUAAUGGGUCAGCGACUUAUAUUCUGUAGCAAGGUUAACCGAAUAGGGGAGCCGAAGGGAAACCGAGUCUUAACUGGGCGUUAAGUUGCAGGGUAUAGACCCGAAACCCGGUGAUCUAGCCAUGGGCAGGUUGAAGGUUGGGUAACACUAACUGGAGGACCGAACCGACUAAUGUUGAAAAAUUAGCGGAUGACUUGUGGCUGGGGGUGAAAGGCCAAUCAAACCGGGAGAUAGCUGGUUCUCCCCGAAAGCUAUUUAGGUAGCGCCUCGUGAAUUCAUCUCCGGGGGUAGAGCACUGUUUCGGCAAGGGGGUCAUCCCGACUUACCAACCCGAUGCAAACUGCGAAUACCGGAGAAUGUUAUCACGGGAGACACACGGCGGGUGCUAACGUCCGUCGUGAAGAGGGAAACAACCCAGACCGCCAGCUAAGGUCCCAAAGUCAUGGUUAAGUGGGAAACGAUGUGGGAAGGCCCAGACAGCCAGGAUGUUGGCUUAGAAGCAGCCAUCAUUUAAAGAAAGCGUAAUAGCUCACUGGUCGAGUCGGCCUGCGCGGAAGAUGUAACGGGGCUAAACCAUG